ensembl:lncRNA
GGUGGUUGCUAUGGUAACCUGGGUGGUUGCUAGGAAGUUGCUAAGGUACUUGGGGUGGUUGCUAAGUGGUUGCUAGGAUGUUCUGGGUGGUUGCUAGGCGGUUGCUAGGCAGUUGCUAAGGUACUUGGGGUGGUUGCUAAGGUGUUGCUAGGUGGUUGCUAGGGUGCUCUGGGUGGUUGCUAGGCGGUUGCUAUGGUAACCGGGGUAGUUGCUAUGCUGUUACUAGGUGGUUGGUAGUUGUCACUGAUGGUCACUAUGAAGUUUAUAUAGAGUUCAUAGCAUGUUGUUAGCCCAUUUGAGCACUUAGCUAAUCACUAUUAGCAUGUAGCUAUUCACUGCUAGCAUGACUAGCAAGUUGGAAUUCCAGUUUGCUAGCAUGAGUCAAAAAAGCCAACCGCCAAGUCUGUACGAUGUUCUGAUGCAGAGAUAUAGGUCUUGCAAAACGGUUGCUAGGGUACUCUGUUUGGUUGCUAGGGAGUGGCUUGGCAUCUGCCAAUGAUGAUACUCAAAGGCUGCUUGCCAAUAUAAACCAACCCCCAUGUCUGUACGAUGUGCUGAUGCAGAGAUAUAGGUCUUGCAAAACGGUUGCUAGGGUACUCUGUUUGGUUGCUAGGGAGUGGCCUG